CCCUUGGAGCAUUAUAUCAAACAAGAGUAGUUAGUUGGCUUAGUUUAACGACAAAAUUGGGUGCGAUGAACAGGGAA
rnacentral:sRNA from 12 species